ensembl:lncRNA
CAGCUACGGCCCUGGAUACUGUUAAAGAAAUGCAAGAACCAUGGGAUGACCUAAAGCCGCGUAAAGCUUUAGUGACCUCCCUUGUGCCAUGGAUCAGACAUCUUGUUUUGAAAGCGAGACUGAGAAGAGAGAGAUGGAGACAGUGACAGAGAGAUGGAGCGAGGGACUUCUCUAUGUGUCAGACCUAACCUCUGCUAUGAUGAAAGGUGGGACUUCGCACUCAUACUGUGGACCUCCAUGACUUCCUGCAGAGAGUGCACCUGUCCUUCUCUCUCUGUCUUUCUGUCUCAUGACAGUCCAUCUGUGCUUUGUACCGAACAAUGCACUUUAGUUAUCUGCACAUAAGAAGCAUUAAGUGAGUUGCUUAGCUGGA